rnacentral:lncRNA from 1 species
AUAUAUACUGUGUAUCAUGAUACUAAAUGAUGACCAUAUUCAUAAACCUUCACAUGGUAGGCCUAUGUCAAGAUUACCCAUUCCAAAAACCCAUUUUAUUACCACAGUACUUUGUUUUUGUAUAGAGAAGAGUUACAUUUUCCCUACUGGCUUUGUUUUAUCAUCCGAAAGUGUGAUAAUAUUGUAGGUGGUGACAGUGCCAUCCACUCCCUUCCCCUUCCCCCACAAAUCACUGACUCAUCUGUAUUCCUCCUCAGUCUCCCAUGUGGCCCUUUCCUUUCGUCACAUGACCGGUGCGUGCCCUCCAAUAGCAUCAACCUCAUUUUUGCCCCUCCGCUGAAUUACAGCGAUACGUGGACUCCAGUGACCCAACCAACCAAUGCCAGAAAAGCUGGCAUUCUCCAAAUAUCAUAACCACUCUUCAAUAUUCCUCUAGUUUUUUCUUUUAAGUCACAUCCCACCCCUUUAUCCCGACAACUAGUAAUCCCCCCAUUUGUUGGCCCACCCCUACAGCAACACAAUAGGGGUAAUUGUCCAUGCAGCACACACACAUUGGCACAUAAAGAUGGACAGACAAGAGCGUGUGGCGUUUCCCUGCCAUAUGCCGUCCCUCCUCUGGAAUGUGAUUAUCCUCAGUGGAGAGAAAAACAGAGGCUGAGCGGAAACACAGUGUGCGGGGGAAGCAAGCGAGGGGGAAUAGAAGGAGGAGGAGGAGCAGUAAAGCAAGUGUAGAGACGGAGAGAGAGAGAGAUUGAGAGGAAGGAUGGAGGAUGCAGAGUGUGUGGCGGCACAGCUAGAGAGGGAGGGUUCAUGAGAGGGCUGUUCAGUCUGGCGUGAUUCUCUGGAUAAGGACAACGGAACUGAACUGAAGUGGAAAUCUCACACACACAGCUGCUGUCUCCAAUCCGACGAAGACUCAGAUAAAGCUGGCAACCCCAGCUGCUUUCCCUCCAAACAAUCUGAGGAAGAGGAGCCUUGUGUUGGGGUGAAGAUCGCUCAGAACAAAGCCGUUGGUAGCCACAGUCCUGAUGAGCAAGGUCGUCACAAUGAGAAGUUGAGUCGUGGAUGCAGAUUCAGCAAUAAGAGCCUUACUGGAGUAAAUGGAAGAGUUUCAGGUCGACGGCCACCACUGCAUCCCAAACCACAAGGUAUGGAGAUAUGCGCACAAUAUGCACACACACAUAACUCCUUCCAUAAU